rnacentral:rRNA from 1 species
GACGAACGCUGGCGGCGUGCUUAACACAUGCAAGUCGAACGGAGAGGGCGUGCCUUGGUUGUGUGCUCGAGUUGCUAACGGGUGAGUAACGCGUGGGUAACCUGCCCUGUACUGGGGGAUAACUAUAGGAAACUGUGGCUAAUACCGCAUAAGAGCAGCUGCUGCAUGGCGUGUGUUGGAAAGUUUCGGCGGCUGGGGUUGGACUUGCGGUUUCGUAGCUUGUGGUUGGGGUUGUGGCUUACCAAGGCUUUGACGGGUAGCCGGCCUGGGAGGGUGACCGGCCACAGUGGGACUGAGAUACGGCCCAGACUCCUACGGGAGGCAGCAGUGGGGAACAUUGCACAAUGGGCGGAAGCCUGAUGGAGCAACGCCGCGUGCGGGAUGACGGCCUUCGGGUUGUAACCCGCUUUCGCCUGUGAAGAAGAGUGAGUGACGGUAAUGGAUAAAGAAGCAACGGCUAACUACGUG